UGGGGGUAUAGCUUAGUUGGUAGAGCGUCUGCUUUGCACGCAGAAGGUCCACGGUUCAAAUCCGUGUUCCUCCAU
rnacentral:tRNA from 1 species